AAGCGGUGGAGCAUUGGUAGGUUUAAUUCGAAGCAACGCGAAGAACCUUACCAGGUCUUGACAUCCCGAUGCUAUUUCUAGAGAUAGAAAGUUACUUCGGUACAUCGGUGACAGGUGGUGCAUGGUUGUCGUCAGCUCGUGUCGUGAGAUGUUGGGUUAAGUCCCGCAACGAGCGCAACCCCUAUUGUUAGUUGCCAUCAUUCAGUUGGGCACUCUAGCGAGACUACCGGUAAUAAACCGGAGGAAGGUGGGAUGACGUCAAAUCAUCAUGCCCCUUAUGACCUGGGCUACACACGUGCUACAAUGGUUGGUACAACGAGUUGCGAGUCGGUGACGGCGAGCUAAUCUCUUAAAGCCAAUCUCAGUUCGGAUUGUAGGCUGCAACUCGCCUACAUGAAGUCGGAAUCGCUAGUAAUCGCAGGUCAGCAUACUGCGGUGAAUACGUUCCCGGGUCUU
rnacentral:rRNA from 1 species